rnacentral:rRNA from 1 species
GAUCAUGGCUCAGGAUGAACGCUAGCUACAGGCUUAACACAUGCAAGUCGAGGGGAAACGACAUCGAAAGCUUGCUUCCGAUAGGCGUCGACCGGCGCACGGGUGAGUAACGCGUAUCCAACCUGCCCGUCACUUGGGAAUAACCUUGCGAAAGUAAGACUAAUGCCCAAUGACAUUUAUAGAAGGCAUCUGAAAUGAAUUAAAGAUUUAUCGGUGAUGGAUGGGGAUGCGUCUGAUUAGCUUGUUGGCGGGGUAACGGCCCACCAAGGCGACGAUCAGUAGGGGUUCUGAGAGGAAGGUCCCCCACAUUGGAACUGAGACACGGUCCAAACUCCUACGGGAGGCAGCAGUGAGGAAUAUUGGUCAAUGGGCGAGAGCCUGAACCAGCCAAGUAGCGUGCAGGAAGACGGCCCUAUGGGUUGUAAACUGCUUUUAUAGGGGAAUAAAGUGAUCCACGUGUGGUUUUUUGCAUGUACCCUAUGAAUAAGGACCGGCUAAUUCCGUG